CCUACGGGAGGCAGCAGUGGGGAAUAUUGGGCAAUGGGCGCAAGCCUGACCCAGCAACGCCGCGUGAAGGAAGAAGGCUUUCGGGUUGUAAACUUCUUUUCUUGGGGACGAAGAAAGUGACGGUACCCAAGGAAUAAGCCACGGCUAACUACGUGCCAGCAGCCGCGGUAAUACGUAGGUGGCAAGCGUUAUCCGGAUUUAUUGGGUGUAAAGGGCGUGUAGGCGGGAUUGCAAGUCAGAUGUGAAAACCACGGGCUCAACCUGUGGCCUGCAUUUGAAACUGUAGUUCUUGAGUGCUGGAGAGG
rnacentral:rRNA from 1 species